rnacentral:rRNA from 1 species
AUGGCUCGUGCUGUUGUUCUGUUGAAUUUUAAUGUGUUCCUUGAGAAAGCUAAUUUGAAAGAUGAUGGUAGCAAUUAUACGGACUGGGUUCGUAACCUAAGGAUUAUCCUCAUUGCUGCACAAAAGAAUUACGUCCUGGAAGCACCGCUGGGUGCCAGGCCUGCUGCAGAUGCAACUGACGAUGUUAAGAAUGUCUGGCAGAGCAAAGCUGAUGACUACUCGAUAGUUCAGUGUGCCAUGCUUUACGGCUUGGAACCGGGUCUUCAACGAUGUUUUGAACGUCAUGGAGCAUAUGAGAUGUUCCAGGAGUUGAAGUUAAUAUUUCAAGCAAAUGCCCGGUUUGAGAGAUAUGAAGUCUCCAAUAAGUUCUAUAGCUGUAAGAUGGAGGAGAAUAGUUCUAUCAGUGAACAUAUACUCAAAAUGUCUGGGUAUAAUAAUCACUUGAUUCAACUGGGAGUUAAUAUUCCUAAUGAUAGUGUCAUUGACAGAAUUCUCCAAUCACUGCCACCAAGCUACAAGAGCUUCGUGAUGAACUAUAAUAUGCAAGGGAUGGACAAGACUAUUCUCGAGCUCUUCGCAAUGCUAAAAGCUGCGGAGGUAGAAAUCAGGAAAGAGCAUCAAGUGUUGAUGGUCAAUAAGACCACCAGUUUCAAGAAAAAGGGUAAAGGGAAGAAGAAGGGGUACUUCAAGAAGAACAGCAAGCAAGUUGCUGCUCAAGAGAAGAAACCCAAAUCUGGACCUAAGCCUGAGACUGAGUGCUUCUACUGCAAGCAGACUGGACACUGGAAGCGGAACUGCCCCAAGUAUUUGGCAGAUAAGAAGGAUGGCAAAGUGAACAAAGGUAUAUGUGAUAUACAUGUUAUUGAUGUGUACCUUACUAAUGCUCGCAGUAGCAACUGGGUAUUUGAUACUGGUUCUGUUGCUAAUAUUUGCAACUCGAAACAGGGACUACGGAUUAAGCGAAGAUUGGCUAAGGACAAGGUGACGAUGCGCGUGGGAAAUGGUUCCAAAGUCGAUGUGAUCGCAGUCGGCACGCUACCUCUACAUCUACCAUUGGGAUUAGUUUCAGACCUAAAUAAUUGUUAUUUGGUGCCAGCAUUAAGCAUGAACAUUAUAUCUGGAUCUUGUUUGAUGCGAGACGGUUAUUCAUUUAAA